AGUCUCCUCUAGAAGAUGCUAGUGAGAGACAAAGUAAUAGAAAGUAAUAACCAUUUUAGGUUCCUCCUAGGAAAUGGCUUAUGUUGGUGCCACGCAAAUAUGUAAAAUAUGUGUUUCUCUGUUUUAGGAAGUUGUACAGUUUCUAGACAAGAAACAUCCAAACCACUAUCGAGUCUACAAUCUAUGCAGUGAAAGAGCUUAUGAUCCUAAGCAUUUCCAUAAUAGGGUCAGUAGAAUCAUGAUUGAUGAUCAUAAUGUCCCCACUCUAUGGUAAGUUUUAUGCUACGUUGACUAUCAGAAGGGGGCUAAAUAUAUUGGGCUUGAUUUUUUGAAAAUAUUUUAAUUCAACUAAAAAUCCUAAACUUGAAAUCAGGGAGAUGGUAGGAUUCUCCAAGGAAGUAGAGGAGUGGCUGGCUCAAGAUCCUGAAAACAUCAUAGUGAUUCACUGUAAAGGAGGCAAAGGAAGAACUGGAACUAUGGUUUGUGCCUGCCUGAUUGCCACUGAAAUAUUUUUAACUGCAGAGGUAUGAAAGAUGUUACCACAGACUUUGUCUUAUGAUGACUGAGUUUGCUAGUUCUGAAACAUCAGUGGUAGGAUGUUAAGAUGAUUAUUUUAGUCAUGGUGCUCAGUGAAAUUGUAAUUGGAGAAGUGGUUGUUAAAAAGUCUGUUUUUGAUACUUCCUUGUUUAACAUGCAUUAGUUAGUAGCUGGCUUAAGAAUCUCUUUGGGCCAGCAGUA